GACGAACGCUGGCGGCGUGCUUAACACAUGCAAGUCGAACGCUGAAGCACCAGCUUGCUAGUGCGGAUGAGUGGCGAACGGGUGAGUAAUACGUGAGUAACCUGCCCUUGACUCUGGGAUAAGCCCGGGAAACUGGGUCUAAUACUGGAUGCUACGUCCCAUCGCAUGAUGGUUCGUGGAAAGGGACUACUGGUCUUGGAUGGGCUCACGGCCUAUCAGCUAGUUGGUGAGGUAAUGGCUCACCAAGGCGACGACGGGUAGCCGGCCUGAGAGGGUGACCGGCCACACUGGGACUGAGACACGGCCCAGACUCCUACGGGAGGCAGCAGUGGGGAAUAUUGCACAAUGGGCGCAAGCCUGAUGCAGCGACGCCGCGUGAGGGAUGACGGCCUUCGGGUUGUAAACCUCUUUCAGCAGGGAAGAAGCCACAAGUGACGGUA
rnacentral:rRNA from 1 species